rnacentral:rRNA from 1 species
UACGAAUGGUGCAAGCGUUAAUCGGAAUUACUGGGCGUAAAGCGCGCGUAGGUGGUUUGUUAAGUUGGAUGUGCAAGCCCCGGGCUCAACCUGGGAACUGCAUCCAAAACUGGCAAGCUAGAGUAUGGCAGAGGGUGGUGGAAUUUCCUGUGUAGCGGUGACAUGCGUAGAUAUAGGAAGGAACACCAGUGGCGAAGGCGACCACCUGGGCUAAUACUGACACUGAGGUGCGAAAGCGUGGGGAGCACACAGGAUGAGAUCACACGGUAGUCC